rnacentral:rRNA from 1 species
AGAGUUUGAUCAUGGCUCAGAACGAACGUUGGCGGCGUGGAUUAGGCAUGCAAGUCGAACGAGAACCGGGUAGCAAUACUUGGGGAAAGUGGCGAAAGGGGCAGUAAGGCGUGGGUAACCUACCCCGGGGACGGGGAUAGCCUUCCUAACGGAAGGGUAAUACCUGGCGAUCUGGCGAGAGGACAUCCUUUUACCAGGAAAUGAAUUUCGCCUCGGGAGGGGCUCACGUGAUAUUAGCUUGUUGGUGAGGUAACGGCUCACCAAGGCCGAGAUGUCUAGCGGGUGUGAGAGCACGACCCGCGCCACUGGCACUGAGACACUGGCCAGACUCCUACGGGAGGCUGCAGUCGAGGAUCUUUGGCAAUGGGCGCAAGCCUGACCAAGCGACGCCGCGUGUGCGAUGAAGGCCUUCGGGUUGUAAAGCACUGUCGAGGGGGAGGAAGCCGAAAGGUUGACCUAUCCCUGGAGGAAGCACGGGCUAAGUUCGUGCCAGCAGCCGCGGUAAUACA